UUUGGGAGACUAUCUUUUCCCGUUUCCCCACUCUGGACGCUCUAUUUCGAUAAGCUCGAGGGCGAGCUCGAGCGGCGCAGCAUAGCAGGCUAUUCUCCCCGUCCAUGGCGAUUCUCGCCGCUCGAUUUUGAUUUCUUUUCCCUUUCUCUUUGAUCUCCAGUGUCGCGGUUGGUUGCUCCUCUCUCCCGCUCUCUUCCGCUCUCUGCCCGUGUGCUUUUUGCUUGCGUCUGGUUCCAGAUCUAGUGUAAUUUGUUCUGCACUUACGGUGUAAUUUGUUCAUCAAGGAAUUCAUCGUCUCCAUCUUGUCCAAAUUCAUGUUAUAGAACAGGUUUGUGUCCCAGGGAUUGGAUUCUCCUCCCCCAUCUUCGCUUGCUGGUAUUUCCUGAUGCAAUUCUGCCUCCAGUGUCUACUAAGAAACUCCUUCAGUUUUUUGUUCUUGCAAGAGGUGAAGAGAGAUGAUGGAUGAGGGAGUUGGUGUUCGACUGUUUUUGCUGUGUGGUCCCUAAAUCAGGAGGGGGUUUGUUUGUCCAGGACGAACCGGGCUGGCUGACGGGUGAGUGGCAGAGAGCGUGAGCGGGUCGCUCAAGUUCGGCACGCGGGAUCGCUCGCCCGCGACUCUGUACUCGCCGUGUCAGACACAACGCCGUGACCAUCGUUCAUCAUUGUCGCUGCGGCACUCUAGUGUAACCAGCACUAAGUGAGACAAGUAUAAACGAUGCCGAGAUGCCGAACAACCAAAUGCACCCAUAUACUGCCCCAUUUUUUCUUGAACACGGUACCAACGGAAGCGUUCAUACAUAUACACAUACGCUCAUCUUAUGAACGCACGUACGCACAUCCUACUCAUGUAAGCAUUUUCA